GCUCUUAUAUCUGACAAGACCUCCUCAAAUAUGAGAUUUAUAUCUCCUCAUGGACCAGAUGUUCAUAAAACAACCAACUUAUUUGCUCCUGAAAGAGAAAUAUAUUUCUUUUCUGAUGCUCCUCAUCUUCUCAAAACUGUAAGAAAUAACUUAGCUGCAUCUGGUAGUAAUCGGAACAGUCGAUUAUUGUGGAAGAACAACCAAAAUCUUUUAUGGAAACAUGUGGCAGAUGUAUAUGAAAGAGAUAUGGCUCAUGAGUUGAGCAAGGUUACAAAACUUACAAUCACAUUCAUUUAACAUCAUUUUCUGUUAUGAAAGUGAAUUUUGUUGCCCAGGUCUUUAGUCGUUCUGUUGGCAAGGUGAUCGAAGAAUUUGGUGGAGAAGAGGCCCAGGAAACUGUUAAGUUUAUUCUGUUAAUUGAUCGUUUCUUUGAUUGUUUGAAUGUAAGAUCAAAGUUUGAAGGACAGAGAAAAAGAAAAACAGAUCUAAUGCCAUACGAAAGUAUUGAUGAUCCCAGGUUCAAGUUUCUUAUUGAUGACUUCUUGGGAUAACUAGAAGACUGGAAAAAGCAGGUCAAUGAUCGAGCAGAAUUUAGUAAAAUUGAAAAGUCCAAAAUGUUCCUAACUCACCAAACCUACAAGGGAUUAGUAAUUACAGUUAAAUCAGUUGUGGAAGCAACGAAGUUUCUCCUUAAGAAUGGGGUCAGUUUUGUUUUGACAAAUAAAUUUUGUCAAGACCCAUUCGAAGAACAUAUUGGCAGACAUAGGGCCACGGGAAGGCGAAAUGAUAACCCAACAGUCUAUGAAUUUGGUUACCAGGAAAAUAAACUUCGCCUUCAGCGCUCUCUCUCUCCAACUUCAUCCACAUGGGAACAUCAGGACAAGGAAAGCAGCAAUUGAUCUUGAUGAAACACCUUUGAAAAAGAGAAGACAAACGACCCAGAAAUAAUUUCUAUAUGUCUGUCCGUAUGCCUGCCUGUCUGUUUUAUUGAAUUGGUAACUUCACAAAAUGAAUUAUUGCUGAUCAAAUGUAAUUUCUCAAAAGUCAAGAUGCUGUUAUGUAAUAGAGCGAACUCUGUUUGCAGGUUAAGCGGAGCGAUAAGCAAUUUGAUUGGUCGGGACUUUGGAGCUCGAUAACUUUGAUUCUAAUUGAGUGAGAGUGGUGAAACUGCUCGUAUAGUUUCAUUACAUCAUUAUCUUAACAAGGUUCGAUGCUGAGCAUUUUCUGCUUAGGCAAAGUUAAGACUUCGAUCUGAUUGUUCAAGACUUUGGAACACAAUGUCUCUCCUUCUAAUUGAGGUAGAAUGUUCAAAUUUGGUGCAGGUGUUUAUUAGGCGAAUGCCUUGACAGAGUUCGAUCAUGCGCAUUUUCCACUAAGUUCGAUGAUGAGAAUUUUCUGCUUAGGCUUAGUAGCGAUAAGCAACUCAUUGAAACUGAGUGUAUAGUUUCACUACCAGAUACUUCAAAACCUUGACCGAGUCUUGAUUGAUAAAGACUUUGGAAUACAACAACUCUCCUUCAAAUUGAGGUAGAAUUUCAAAUUUGGUGUACAUUGUAGGUGUUUAUUAGGUGAAUGCCUUGAAAGUUUGAUCAUGUAUAUUCUCCAAUAAGUUCGAUGAUGAGAAUUUUCUGCUUAGACUAAGUAGCGAUAAGCAACGCGAUGAAACUUAGUGUAUAGUUUCACUUCCAGGUACUUCAAAUCCUUGACUGAGUUCAAUCGUGAACAUCUUCUGCUUAGACUAAGUAUAAAUGAUUGGUUUGAUUGAAAAUUUCAGUCAAAUUACUUCACACUAAGCCAAGAAAUACUCAUUUUAAAAACCUUGUUGAUUGUCAUAGGCUCAUAGGCAGAUUUAGCUCUUGCAUAAUGUAUGUUUAGUAAAUAGUAUGUGUCAUCUACUUAUUUUAAGAUGUCGGUGGGGGGCAGCCUCAUUAUUGGUUUGUUGCCCCUCGCCUUUCGACGAAAGCAGGGGACUAUUAAAAUGGGUUCGUCUAUCUGUCUGUUUGUCCGUCACACAUUUUGGGACACAAUAACUCUCUUUCUAAUUGAACUAGAAUGAUCAAACUUGGUGUAGGUGUUUAUUAGGUCAAUGCCUUGAUGGAGUUCGAUAAUGGGCAUUUUCUGCUCAGGGUAAGCAGAGUUGAUUGGUCGAGACCUUGGAACACAAUAACUCAUUCUAAUUGAGUUAGAAUGUUCACACUUGGCGUAGGUGUCAAUUAGGUGAAUGCAUUGAUGGAGUUUGAAGAUGGGAAUUUUCUGCUUAGGGUAAGCAGAGAUAAGCAGUUUGACUGUGAUGCUUUGGGACACGAUAACUUUAGUUUUAAUUAAGUGAACGUGAGGACACUUGGUGUAUAGCUUUAUUAUAUCAAUUCAAUACCUUGACUAAGUUCGAUAAUGAACAUUUUUUGCUGAGGGUAAGCAGAUUGAUAAGCAAUUUGAUUGGUCUAGACUUUGGAACACCAUAACUCUCCUUCUAAUUGAGGUAGAAUGUUCAAACUUGGCGUAGGUGUCUAUUAGGUGAAUGUUUAAACUUGAUGUAGAUGUUCAUUAGGUGAAUGUCUUGACUGAGUUCAAUGAUUAACAUUUCGAGCUGAAGCCAAGCAGAGCUAAUUGAUUUCAUUUGUCGAUGGUUUGGGACAAGAUAAUCUUGAUUCUAUCUGAUAGAGAGUGAUGAAACUUAGUGAAAAAAAUAAAUAAGCGAUUAAUAUGUGUCAUCUAUUUAUUUUGCAAUUUCGGCGGGGGACAUCAGCCUCACUGUUGGCUUGUUCUAAUAGCUUUAUUACAUCAAUACCUUGACUAAGUUCGAUAAUGAACAUUUUCUGUUGAGGGUAAGCAGAGCCUUUGGAACACAAUAACUAUCCUUCUAAUUGAGGUAGAAUGUUCGAAAUUGGUGUAGGCUUUAUUAAUAGCUUUAUUACAUCAAUACCUUGACUAAGUUCGAUAAUGAACAUUUUCUGUUGAUGGUAAGCAGAGCCGUUGGAACAUAAUAACUAUCCUUCUAAUUGAGGUAGAAUGUUCGAAAUUGGUGUAGGCUUUCAUUAGGUGAAUGCCUUGACAGAGUUCGAUGAUGAACAUUGUCUGCUUACGUUAAGCAGAUAUAAACAAUCUGAUUGGUUGAUGCUUUGGGGCACGAUAACUUUGGUUAUAAUGAAGUGAGAGCAAUGAAACUCUGAAUAUAGAUUCAUUAUAUCAUUAUCUUGACAAAGUUCGAUGGUGAGAAUUUUCUGGUCAAGACUUUGGAACAUAACAACUCUGCUUUUAAUUGAAGUAGAAUGUUUAAACUUGAUGUAGAUGUUUAUUAGGCGAAUGUCUUGACUGAGUUCAAUGAUUAACAUUUCGUGCUGAAGCUAAGCAGAGCUAAUCGAUUUCAUUGGUCGAUGCUUUGGGUCGUUCGGAUGGGACGAAAAAACCGAGGUCCCGCGUACACAUUGGCGUGCACGUAAAAGACCCCUUGGCAGUUAGAAUUCGAUAUAAGAGUAGGCCGUAGCGCCGCUGCCCGGGCAAAAUUUCCCUCAUAGCACACUGUAUGGCGUAUGCCCGUCUUCAUUAGCCCAGGUUAGGAGCAGAACAGUAGGACGUUAAACCCCAUUUCAUUUCGAUGCUUUGGGACAAGAUAAUCUUGAUUCCAUCUGAUCGAGCGUGAUGAAACUUAGUGUAUAGUUUGAUUGCUUGAUACUUUUGAAAAAAAUAAAUGUGCGAUUAAUUAAUUAAUAUGUGUCAUCUAUUUAUUUGGGGAUUUCGGCGGGGGACAUCAGCCUCACUGUUGAUCGAA